rnacentral:rRNA from 1 species
UACGGCGGGUGCAAGCGUUAUCCGGAUUUAUUGGGUUUAAAGGGUCCGUAGGCGGAUCUGUAAGUCAGUGGUGAAAUCUCACAGCUUAACUGUGAAACUGCCAUUGAUACUGCAGGUCUUGAGUGUUAUUGAAGUAGCUGGAAUAAGUAGUGUAGCGGUGAAAUGCAUAGAUAUUACUUAGAACACCAAUUGCGAAGGCAGGUUACUAAGCAACAACUGACGCUGAUGGACGAAAGCGUGGGGAGCGAACAGG